CGGAAGCCGGGUUACGGUGC
rnacentral:snRNA from 1 species